GAAAUGCGAUAAGUAGUGUGAAUUGCAGAAUUCAGUGAAUCAUCGAAUCUUUGAACGCACAUUGCGCCCUUUGGUAUUCCAAAGGGCAUGCCUGUUCGAGCGUCAUUUGUACCCUCAAGCUUUGCUUGGUGUUGGGCGUCUUGUCUCCAGUUCGCUGGAGACUCGCCUUAAAGUAAUUGGCAGCCGGCCUACUGGUUUCGGAGCGCAGCACAAGUCGCGCUCUCUUCCAGCCAAGGUCAGCAUCCACAAAGCCUUUUUUCCACUUUUGACCUCGGAUCAGGUAGGGAUACCCGCUGAACUUAAGC
rnacentral:misc_RNA from 1 species